AACGAACGCUGGCGGCAUGCCUAACACAUGCAAGUCGAACGAGAUCUUCGGGUCUAGUGGCGCACGGGUGCGUAACGCGUAGGAAUCUGCCCUUUGGUUCGGAAUAACAGUUGGAAACGACUGCUAAUACCGGAUGAUGACGAAAGUCCAAAGAUUUAUCGCCAGAGGAUGAGCCCGCGUAGGAUUAGCUAGUUGGUGUGGUAAAGGCGAACCAAGGCGACGAUCCUUAGCUGGUCUGAGAGGAUGAUCAGCCACACUGGGACUGAGACACGGCCCAGACUCCUACGGGAGGCAGCAGUGGGGAAUAUUGGACAAUGGGCGAAAGCCUGAUCCAGCAAUGCCGCGUGAGUGAUGAAGGCCUUAGGGUUGUAAAGCUCUUUUACCCGGGAUGAUAAUGACAGUACCGGGAGAAUAAGCUCCGGCUAACUCCGUGCCAGCAGCCGCCGUAA
rnacentral:rRNA from 1 species